rnacentral:sRNA from 1 species
CUGACAGCCUUGGAGGCUGAAGUUCAGAAUAUGCUGUGGCAGUCCAGACUUCCCCUCUCCUUCGCCAAUGUGCCUCAGUCCUACUCUGAAGGGAGCACUCUAGGAGCAAGAGACUAGUUCAGUCACUGGCCUCCCUGCUCAGACUGCCUAUAAU